UACGUAGGGUGCGAGCGUUAAUCGGAAUUACUGGGCGUAAAGUGUGCGCAGGUGGCUUCGCAAGUCGAGUGUGAAAUCCCCGGGCUUAACCUGGGAAUUGCGCUCGAAACUACGGAGCUGGAGUAUGGCAGAGGGAGGUGGAAUUCCACGUGUAGCGGUGAAAUGCGUAGAGAUGUGGAGGAACACCAAUGGCGAAGGCAGCCUCCUGGGCCAAUACUGACGCUGAGGUGCGAAAGCGUGGGGAGCAAACAGG
rnacentral:rRNA from 1 species